rnacentral:tRNA from 1 species
GCGACAGUGGCUCAGCUGGUAGAGUACGACCUUGCCAAGGUCGGGGUCGCGGGUUCGAGCCCCGUCUGUCGCU